GUAUUUUUCAUUUAAUGCAGCACAGUGUUCUGUAUUAUUUCUGGAUGCUAAGUUGGUGCUACAUUUCUGCCGGUGGUGACUACAUUUUGUUAAUGAAUAAAGCUGUAACUGAUACAUGAAAUCAUUUUAUUUUGACGUAUGUACUUUGGAAUCCUCCCCUAUCUUAAAAUAGAUACUGGAAAAGAAAAGAAAGAUGAUAGCAAUAUAGAUAGAGGAAAUUGAGAUAUCUAGGGGAUUCCUGUUAUUUAAAAAAUAGCCUUAUUUCGUUGUGGUGUUAUCCCCUAAAUUCUGCAAACUUUUGUUUCAGAAAAUAAAGAAAAUAAAUGGAUUCACUCAUUUAUAGGUGAUCCAUUUAGGGAGUCCUUGGGAAACAAUAGCACAGACCGAAACAAAAUGUAGUAGGAGAUAGAUCUGGCAUUUUAUUUUAUUUUAUUUUAUUUUAUUUGUCCUCUGAAUAAUGGCUGGUGACAACACAGAUGUUAAACACAAAAUAUUACAGGGAUUAAUUCAUAGCGCUCUAGUUUUCAUCCAAGGUCAUGUUCAGUGCAAACAAUAAGUUAUAGCCAGGCAGUCUGUAGUGGCAAUUAAGGACCACCUAGGGUGGGGGUGAAGCUGAAGGUGGCUCUGACUCUAGGAGGUCUACAGUCACUUCAGCAUACCUCCUUGGAAUGCCUUCUUGUUCAUAUAAAUUAAACAAAAGUGAAUUUUCUCCCCUUUAGGGAGCAAACAAUCCAUGCCUCAGAUCCUGCAGCCUAAGCAUUUCCUCCUUUAGAAUUGCAACUGAAUCUCCUCUAAACAGCAAUUAGCAUUUUAAUAGUAUUAAUAACAUACACGAUUCUAACAAUCUAAAGUGUUCUGCUUUUUAUUGAUGUCUUUUGUUGCAAUUUUGUCUAAUAGUGUGCCCAGGGUAGCAAAACAUAACCAAUUAAAACAUUUGCCAAACAGCAAGGAAUCUGGAUAGUUUCAACGCUGCUCAACUAAAAAUGAAAGUGGUUGUAUGAAAAUAACAGUUCCAGCCAACAAGACCAGGGAACAUACUGGCAAUCUUGUCAAUGUGAACUUAUCUAAUCAAAUGCCCUACAUUGCAUCAGAAAGAGGGAAAAAUCUGAACUGGAAAAGCUUCGUUUUCUUAAAGGUACCUAUUUCAUAUUAUAUUAUGGGAAUUUUAUCACAAAAUGUUUACAUUUAAUUCUCUGGGAAAGUUCCUUAAGAGUAGAUUUAGUCAUGAUUUAAUAUGCCAUAAAACAUUAUUAUUUCCUCAGAGAAGAGUAUUUUUAAACAGUAUAAGUUUACCACCAAGACUGAAAACCACUGACCCUUUAGUUAAAGGAUAAUAGGUAGUUUUAUGAUUACCAUGUUCAUGGAAG
rnacentral:lncRNA from 1 species